GACGAACGCUGGCGGCGUGCUUAACACAUGCAAGUCGAACGGAAAGGCCCUGCUUUUGUGGGGUGCUCGAGUGGCGAACGGGUGAGUAACACGUGAGUAACCUGCCCUUGACUUUGGGAUAACUUCAGGAAACUGGGGCUAAUACCGGAUAGGAGCUCCUGCUGCAUGGUGGGGGUCGGAAAGUUUCGGCGGUGGGGGAUGGACUCGCGGCUUAUCAGCUUGUUGGUGGGGUAGUGGCUUACCAAGGCUUUGACGGGUAGCCGGCCUGAGAGGGUGACCGGCCACAUUGGGACUGAGAUACGGCCCAGACGCCUACGGGAGGCAGCAGUGGGGAAUAUUGCACAAUGGGCGGAAGCCUGAGGCAGCAGCGCCGCGUGCGGGAUGACGGCCUUCGUGUUGUAAACCGCUUUCGCCUGUGACGAAGCGUGAGUGACGGUAAUGGGUAAAGAAGCACCGGCUAACUACGUG
rnacentral:rRNA from 1 species